CAGUUUCACCUGGUACUUUUAGUCUUGCACUACUGCACAAAACAAAGACUGCCUGUACUUACUUUGGGGUUUUUUCUUUGGUUGUUGGGGAGUUUUUGGUUUGUUUUUGUUUUUAGCUUUCUGUAGUUUUCUGCUAAUUAACACAAUAGAGCAUCUCUCUUUUGUUUUCUGUGUUUGAUGCUGUAACCAGCUUCCUUUUAUUUUGAUAAUAGGAUGAAGGUUAUUAAUUCCUAGCUCUCUAAGAAAAAUAAUAUGCUAAGAAAAAUAAUAUUCCUUUUAUAUAUAGCUGACAACAGCUGUUUGAGACCUAUUGAUAGACAUGGGAAGCUUCUUUGUCCAGUGCCGGACAGCUAUACUUUGAAGGAAGCAGAAUUGAAGAUGGGAAGUUCAUUGGGACUGUGUCUUGGAAAAGCACCAAGUUCGUCUCAGUUGUUCCUGUUUUUUGCAAUGGGGAGUGACGUUCAACCUGGGACAGAAAUGGAAAUCAUAGUAGAAGAAACAAUAUCUGUGAGAGAUUGUUUAAAGUUAAUGCUGAAGAAAUCUGGCCUACAAGGAGAUGCCUGGCAUUUACGAAAAAUGGAUUGGUGCUAUGAAGCUGGGGAGCCUUUAUGUGAAGAAGAUGCAACACUGAAAGAACUUCUGAUAUGUUCUGGAGAU
rnacentral:sRNA from 1 species